GAUGAACGCUGGCGGCGUGCUUAACACAUGCAAGUCGAACGAUGAACCGGGUGCUUGCACUCGGGGAUUAGUGGCGAACGGGUGAGUAACACGUGAGCAACCUGCCCCUGACUCUGGGAUAAGCGCUGGAAACGGCGUCUAAUACUGGAUAUGUCCCGUCACCGCAUGGUGUGCGGGUGGAAAGAUUUUUCGGUUGGGGAUGGGCUCGCGGCCUAUCAGCUUGUUGGUGAGGUAAUGGCUCACCAAGGCGUCGAGGGGUAGCCGGCCUGAGAGGGUGACCGGCCACACUGGGACUGAGACACGGCCCAGACUCCUACGGGAGACAGAAGUGGGGAAUAUUGCACAAUGGGCGGGAGCCUGAUGCAGCAACGCCGCGUGAGGGAUGACGGCCUUCGGGUUGUAAACCUCUUUUAGCAGGGAAGAAGCGAGAGUGACGGUACCUGCAGAAAAAGCACCGGCUAACUACUUGCCAGCCGCCGCCGUAA
rnacentral:rRNA from 1 species